rnacentral:lncRNA from 1 species
GUGUACUGACUGAGCUAAGGCCAAAUAAAAAAUAUAUGUCUAUUCCUGCUGCCAAGGCAAAUAAAUCCGGGUCGGUAUGCAUGGUAGUCCAAAUAAUUAUGACGUCUGGCAAGGCUAUUUUAUUUUUUUCUGGGACGCCUUCCUAUGACGUCAUAACGCUGAAGCCAUUUUUUACGUCUGGAGUUUGAGAGCAAAUUUUGGGGGGG